CUGGAAGAUCGGUCCUUUCCUUCCACUUACUCGACUGCGCUCACUGAAGAAGUCAAGAGGAAGAAAUGCCUCCUUCAGUAAUAUAUAGAAGACAAAACAACCUCAACAGCUCGAUCAUCUCAGAUCUUAUGCCAUUUGGUGGACACCUGUAUGAGCCAGAUGGAGGAUGAUGGCUGUCUUUGAGCUUCGCCAGACUGUCCCAGUGAUGACUGUGCUGUGGCAACACCACAGCCUGCCAUGGCAGUAUAAUUACUUGAGAAAAUGGGUCUGAGAGAGGAGCUCCAACAAGAGGACUGCGACCAUCUGCAGCAAGUCAUUUGUGAAAAUUCUCAAGGUCUCAGCUUCAGGGGGUAAAACCAGAGAGAAGAUGUUGCAGCAGCACCUGGAACAGAUACUGUUUAACUGAUCCAAGCUGAUACAUUUGCAGGUAAUAAGUGAGACACUGCAAACACCUGAUGGGUACUGGACAAGUGGAAUUGUUUUUCCAGAUCAGAUAUAUAUUUACAUUGUCUGACCCAAUAUGAAUCAGCCAAAAAGGAGUUGUGGAACCUUGCCCGGAAAGGGGAAACUGUUGGGCCCCCACCUGGGGACCUAGGCUUGCUGACCCCUGGCAUCAGACAGCAGCAUUUGUGUUAAUGUAAUAAAUCAAUGCAGUGUGAAUUGGCAUGCUAUGUGUGAAAAUAACAUUUGGUCUGUAAAGAAAUAAAAAACAUUUGAACUCAA